CUACGGGAGGCUCCAGUGAGGAAUAUUGCACAAUGGGGGGAACCCUGAUGCAGCAACGCCGCGUGGAGGAUGACGCAUUUCGGUGUGUAAACUCCUUUUAUAUGUCAAGAAAAUGACGGCAGCAUAUGAAUAAGCACCGGCUAACUCCGUGCCAGCAGCCGCGGUAAUACGGAGGGUGCAAGCGUUACUCGGAAUCACUGGGCGUAAAGGACGCGUAGGCGGGUUGGAAAGUCAGGUGUGAAAUCCUACAGCUUAACUGUAGAACUGCACUUGAAACUUCUAAUCUAGAGUAUGGGAGGGGGAGAUGGAAUUAGUGGUGUAGGGGUAAAAUCCGUAGAUAUCACUAGGAAUACCUAAAGCGAAGGCGAUCUCCUGGAACAUUACUGACGCUAAGGCGUGAAAGCGUGGGGAGCAAACAGGGUUAGAUACCCGAGUAGUC
rnacentral:rRNA from 1 species